rnacentral:rRNA from 1 species
UACGAGAGGUCCAAACGUUAUUCGGAAUUACUGGGCUUACAGAGUUCGUAGGCGGCUCUACAAGUGAGGUGUGAAAGCCCUCGGCUCAACCGAGGAACUGCGCUUCAAACUGUAGAACUAGAGGGAGAUAGAGGUGAGCAGAACUGAUGGUGGAGCGGUGAAAUGCGUUGAUAUCAUCAGGAAUACCGGAGGCGAAGGCGGCUCACUGGGCAGUAACUGACGCUGAGGAGCGAAAGCGUGGGGAGCGAACAGG